rnacentral:rRNA from 1 species
UACGCAGGGUGCAAGCGUUAAUCGGAAUUACUGGGCGUAAAGGGCGCGUAGGCGGCCUUCUAAGUCGAACGUGAAAUCCCUGGGCUCAACCCAGGAACUGCGUCCGAUACUGGAAGGCUUGAAUCCGGGAGAGGGAUGCGGAAUUCCAGGUGUAGCGGUGAAAUGCGUAGAUAUCUGGAGGAACACCAAAGGUGAAGACAGGUGACUGGGGGUGUGCCGACGCUGAGACGCGAAAGCCAGGGGAGCAAACGGG